ACUGGCCUCAGUCAUCUCCACAGGGCUAAAUUUGGGUCCUCUUGUUACCAGAUCCAGCACAUACUGACACUAUCUACAGCUGCCACCAGCCAUCAGCUCAGCUCUCUGGAUGAGGAGGGAAAUUAAGAAAGUUUUCUGGAAGUAUAAAUAUGAAAAGAAGCUUAACCCCUUAAAACUCUGAUAACAUCGGCGGGCCCGGCUGCUAUUCUGUCUUUCAGAGGUUGUUGCGGGCAGAGUUUUCAAGUUAGAGUGAAAAAUACUGAGUGAAUCCAUUGGUACCAACCAUGUCAUACUAGCUUGUCG